GGCCGGCGGGCGCUCCGCAACCCCUCACUGCCCUCGGAGCCGCCGGUUCGAGUCCCGCGCCCGCGCCCCGCCCGGCUGAGGUUUGUCACCCGAGGAGCUGAGCUGUGCUUGCCUGUGACAGAUGGCAGUGCCCCGGUGAGCAGCGACAGCCAGGGGAGAGCACGGAGCCCAUGGAAUAGAGGAGGAGAACCUCUCCGAGCAGGACCGGGACCAGCCCGAGGCAGAGCCAGGAGCCGGACAUGCCAGAGCCAGCCCCGCUCGGCGGGGACAGGAAAGCGGCGGAGAAGAAGCGGGUGGAGAAGGUGGGAGCCAAGGGCAGCGCUGCCGGGCCGCCAGGUGGGUGUGUGGGAAAGGCCUUCCCUGCCCCAGAACGGCCACCCUGGCCCACGGUGGCCACAGGGCCACAGUCCCCUGUCCCCGGCCAGCCCGGGAGGCGCUGUCUGGUCAUGGAAAGGGGAAAUCAGUGGGGAAGUCACUGACACGGGGAUGGAGAUGGGGCUCCUCAGCCGCCUGCUAGAUCCUCCUCCUCCUCCUCUCCACUCUGCCCAGAUUUGCUGCUGGAGGAGGAGCACGGGCACAGCUUUUCCCAGCUUGAUCGCCAG
ensembl:lncRNA